rnacentral:miRNA from 1 species
CCGGGAGUGGGACUGUUUGCGCU